rnacentral:rRNA from 1 species
CCUAGUAACUGCGAGUGAAGAGGGAAAAGCUCAAAUUUAAAAUCUGGCAGUCUUUGAUUGUCCGAGUUGUAAUUUAGAGAAGUGUUACCCGUGUUGGACCGUGUACAAGUUUCCUGGAAUGGAACGUCAUAGAGGGUGAGAAUCCCGUCUUUGACACGGAUCCCAAUGCAUUGUGGUAUACUUUCGAAGAGUCGAGUUGUUUGGGAAUGCAGCUCUAAAUGGGUGGUAAAUUCCAUCUAAAGCUAAAUAUUGGGGAGAGACCGAUAGCGAACAAGUACCGUGAGGGAAAGAUGAAAAGAACUUUGGAAAGAGAGUUAAACAGUACGUGAAAUUGCUAAAAGGGAAACGCUUGAAGUCAGUCGCGUUGUCCAGGGAUCAGCCUUCCUUUUGGUUGGUGUACUUCCUGGUUGACGGGUCAGCAUCAGUUUUGACCGGUGGAUAAGAGUGAGAGGAAUGUGGCAUCUUCGGGUGUGUUAUAGCCUUUUAUUGUAUACAUCGGUUGGGACUGAGGAACUCAGCACGCCGCAAGGCCGGGUUUUUAACCACGUUCGUGCUUAGGAUGCUGGCAUAAUGGCUUUAAUCGACCCGUCUUGAAACACGGACCAAGGAGUCUAACAUGCCUGCGAGUGUUUGGGUGGAAAACCCGAGCGCGUAAUGAAAGUGAAAGUUAGGAUCCCUGUCGUGGGGAGCACUGACGCCCUGUCCAGAGCUUUUGUGACGGUACAGCGGUUGAGCAUGUAUGUUGGGACCCGAAAGAUGGUGAACUAUGCCUGAAUAGGGUGAAGCCAGAGGAAACUCUGGUGGAGGCUCGUAGCGAUUCUGACGUGCAAAUCGAUCGUCGAAUUUGGGUAUAGG